UACGGAGGGUGCGAGCGUUGUCCGGAAUUACUGGGCGUAAAGCGUGCGCAGGCGGUUGUGCAAGACAGAUGUGAAAUCCCCGGGCUUAACCUGGGAAUUGCAUUUGUGACUGCACGGCUAGAGUGUGUCAGAGGGGGGUAGAAUUCCACGUGUAGCAGUGAAAUGCGUAGAUAUGUGGAGGAAUACCGAUGGCGAAGGCAGCCCCCUGGGAUAACACUGACGCUCAUGCACGAAAGCGUGGGGAGCAAACAGG
rnacentral:rRNA from 1 species